GCAUAUCAAUUAAGCGGAGGAAAAGAAACUAACAAGGAUUCCCCUAGUAAACGGCGAGUGAAGAGGGAAGAGCCCAAGAUUGAAAGCUGGCGUCUUCGGCGUCCGCAUUGUAAUCUCAAGAAGUGUUUUCCGCUUCGGACCAAGCCUAAGUCCCCUGGAAAGGGGCAUCAUAGAGGGUGAUAAUCCCGUACAUGGCUUGGAGCGCCCGAGGCUUUGUGAUACGCUUUCUAAGAGUCGAGUUGUUUGGGAAUGCAGCUCAAAAUGGGUGGUAAAUGCCAUCUAAGGCUAAAUAUUGGGGAGAGACCGAUAGCGAACAAGUACAGUGAUGGAAAGAUGAAAAGAACUUUGAAAAGAGAGUUAAACAGUACGUGAAAUUGCCAAAAGGGAAGGGUAGGAGGUCAGAGAUGCGGCCUGGGAUUCAGCCUUGCUUUUGCUUGGUGUUUUUCCCAGAUUGCAGGCCAACGUCGGUUUUGGGCACUGGAGAAGGGUAGGAGGAACGUGGCACCUCUCGGGGUGUGUUAUAGCCUCCUACUGGAUACAGCGACCGAGACCGAGGACAGCAGCGUACUCGCAAGAGCGGGCCUUCGGGCACCUUUACGCUUAGGGCGUUGGCAUAAUGGCCCUCUAACCACCCGUCUUGAAACACGGAACC
rnacentral:rRNA from 1 species